rnacentral:rRNA from 1 species
GCUUACGGCCAUACCACCCUGAGAACGCCCGAUCUCGUCUGAUCUCUGAAGCUAAGCAGGGUCGGGCUUGGUUAGUACUUGGAUGGGAGACCGCCUGGGAAUACCAGGUGCUGUAAGCU